rnacentral:lncRNA from 1 species
AAUUUCAAAAGACAAAAAAAACUAACACUCAUUCACACACUUUUAUGCCUUUUGUGCCUCUUUAAAUUUUAAAUUUUGAUUAAAAGCAAUCCAUUCAUUUUGAAAUUGUUACCACAAACUACAAUGUUUUGAUCCCUCUUUUUAUGUUGGUACGUAGGCAGAAGUCCAAAGGUCUUGUUAAACACAAAAAUAUAUUCAAUAAAUUCUUG